UUGCUUCAGGAGCACAUAUACUUACCUCAGAAUGAUACAGAGAAGAUGAGCCUGGGCCCAGGGCCCAAAUGAUAUGCAAAUUCAUGAAGCUUUCCAUAUUUUU